UACGUAGGGUGCGAGCGUUGUCCGGAAUCAUUGGGCGUAAAGAGCGUGUAGGCGGCUUGUUAAGUCUUGCGUGAAAUCUCGGGGCUCAACCCCGAGCGGUCGUGAGAAACUGGCAGGCUAGAGUGCGGGAGAGGAGAGUGGAAUUCCUGGUGUAGCGGUGAAAUGCGCAGAUAUUAGGAAGAACACCAGUGGCGAAGGCGGCUCACUGGCCCGGUACUGACGCUGAGGCGGCGAAAAGCGUGGGGAGCGAACAGG
rnacentral:rRNA from 1 species